UCCUAAAGCCAGAAGCACUUUCUCCAAGCAGAAGCCUAAGAGGGUGAAGGCGAUCUACAACUGUUCGGCGGACAACGUUGACGAGCUGACGUUCGUGGAGGGCGAGGUGAUCGUGGUGGAGGGCGAGGAGGACAGCGAGUGGUGGUUUGGUCACGUGGAAGAAGACCCGACGAGGAGAGGAGUGUUUCCUCUGACCUUCGUUCACUUCAUCACUGAGUGAUCGGGAGACACGAGUCAGCAUUAUGAGUCCUGGGGGGUGUACUACAAAGCUGGAUGUUCUCUUAGCGGCUAACUUCAGGUUAACUCUGGGUCCCCGGUCCUACGAAGCUGGUUCUCUUUUUAGCAGGCUAGAUCUCCAUGGUAACUGAUGCUGAGCGGCUAACCUGCCC